rfam:Canis lupus familiaris chromosome 31, whole genome shotgun sequence.
GCCUGGGUGGCUCAGUGGUUGAGCGUCUGCCUUUGGCUCAGGUCGUGAUCCCAGGGUCCUGGGAUCGAAUCCCACACUGGGCU